rnacentral:rRNA from 1 species
CCUACGGGUGGCAGCAGUGGGGAAUAUUGGACAAUGGGGGCAACCCUGAUCCAGCAACGCCGCGUGAGUGAAGAAGUCUCUCGGUAUGUAAAGCCCUAUCAGCAGGGAAGAAAGAAAUGACGGUACCUGACUAAGAAGCCGCGGCCAACUACGUGCCAGCAGCCGCGGUCAUGCGGAGGGGGCAUGUGUUAUCCGGAUUUACUGGGUGUAAAGGGAGCGUAGGCGGGGAUGCAAGUCUGAAGUGAAAGGCGGGGGCCCAACCCCCGGACUGCUUUGGACACUGUCUGGCGGGAGUGGAGGAGAAGUAAGUGGAAUGCCUGGUGUAGCGGUGAAAUGCGGAGAUAUUAGGAGGAACACCAGUGGCGAAGGCGGCAUACUGGACUGUAACUGACGUUGAGGCUCGAAAGCGUGGGGAGCAAACAGGAUUAGAUACCCCUGUAGUC